AAAAAAGAGAGAUAAGGUCAGAUGUGGUGGCUUUACACCUGUAAUCCCAACACUUUGGGAGGCGCAGCAGGAGGACUGCUUGAGCCCAGGAGUUUGACCGGCCUGGGCAAGAUAGGGAGACACUGUCUCUAAAAAAAAAAAAAAAAAAUUAGCCUCAGCAUGGUGGUGUGUACCUGUAGUCCCAGCCACUCAGGAGACUGACAGGCAGGAGGAUCUGCUUGAGCCUAGGAGUUCCAGGCUGCAGUGAGCUAUGAUUGCACCACUGCAUUCCAGCCUGGACAACAGAGCAACACACUGUCUCAGGAAAAAAGACAGAGAGAGAGAUAACACUGGUGGAUGAUAGGAAGAGCAAUUGACAGCACCAUCUCUGGGCUUCUCACAAGUUUAUACAACACAUCUGCUUCCUAUUACAAUUCAGAUACCUACAGCCGCUGAGAGCCGGUAUUCCAACGCCAUGAGACGCCUUCUGUCGUGAGCAGUUGACAAGAAAGACCCAGCACUUACUGCAACCGGAAGGAGCGGUUCCUCCCUCGCUCGCGCAGCCGCUCUUCCCCGCCACUCCCUCGGUGCCCGCCAGCACAUUCCCAGCAAGCCCUGAGUAUAUUUGCAUAUCAACUCACUACAUUUUUUUCUUCUAACUAAAAAAUCGAAAGGACAAAUUCCAGAUUCUCCUUGUGAAGUCUUCCUUUCAGUUCAGAAGAAAUGGAAUUCGCUCUUCAACUUCAGGAAGUUGAAAUAAAGAGUUGCUUGGAUUUUGUGUUCACCUUUACCAAAAAAUGGAUUUGGUAACACUGCCACCCUGCUUUGGUGACAGAGAAAGCAAAAAGGGCUUCUGUCGUGAGUGGCACACGUAGGGCAACUCGAUUGCUCUGCGUGCGGAAUCGACAUCAAGAGAUUUCGGAAGCAUAAUUUUUUGGUAUUUGGGCAGCUGGUGAUCGUUGGUCCCGGCGCCCUUUCUUUACUGUUAUAUGUUAGGCGAAAUAUUACGCGUUUGGAGUAAGUGGUGCUUUUUGUAACUGAAAAGAGAUUCUGUGUGUGUUUUUUUUUUUUUUUAGAGGCUGCAUAGUUAUUUGUAUGAACCGCAGGUGACCUAAUUAGCAAGGUAAUUCAGACCUGUAUCCUAGCACUUAAGAAGUGGAAGUGGGAUAACCCUGCGUGUUCUCGUGUGGGAGGCUAGCUUAAGCAACAAAGCAGGAAGGCCCCACCAACAAAAGAAUUUAAAAAUUAUACGUGCGUGGUGGCGCGCGUAUGAGGAAAUUAUUUGGCAACUGUGUUACAGUAUAGCAGCAAAUGGAAUAGACCUAGUCCCUGACUUUAGGAGACCUGCCUCAGCCCCCCGAAUGGCUGGGACUACAGGCGUGCGCCUCCGCGCCCAGCUAAUUUUUGCAUUUUUGGUAGAGACGGGUUCACCAUGUUGGCCAGGAUGGUCUCCAUCUCUUCAUCUGGUGAUCCGCCCACCUCGGCCUCUAGGAGUGCUAGGAUUACAGGCGUGGCCAUCGCGCCCGGCCUGCAAUGUUAUUUUAUGAAGCAGAGGAAAUUGAAAUUACCUUCACCAGGCCUUAGCAAACUUUUUCUAUACCUUAUACCAUACACAAAAGAUUAAUUCAAGGCCGGGCGCAGUGGCUCACGCCUGUAAUCCCAGCACUCCUAGAGGCCGAGGUGGGCGGAUCACCUGAAGUCGGGAUUUCAAGACCAGCCUGACCAACAUGGAGAAACCCCUUCUCUAACUAAAAAUACAAAAUUAGCCAGGCGUGGUGGAGUAUGCCUGUAAUCCCAGUUACUCAGGAGGCUGAGGCAGGAGAAUUGCUUGAACCCAGGAGGCGGAGGUUGCAGUGAGCCGAGACCGCACCAUUGCACUCCAGCCUGGGCAACAAGAGCAAAACUCCGUCUCAAAAAAAAAAAAAAAAAAAAGAUUAAAGACCUAAAUGUAAGACCUUAAACUAUAAAACUCUUAGAGAAAACACAGGGGAAAAUGACAUCGAAUUUGUCAGUGAUUUCUUGGAUAUAAACAAUGGUUUACAAGCAACAAAAAAUAAAUUGGUCCUCAUCAAAUUUUAAAAUGUUAACAUUAAUUUUAAAAUUAAAAUGAAAAACCCGGCCGCGUGCGGUGGCUCACGCCUGUAAUCCCAGCACUUUGGGAGGCCGAGGUGGGCGGAUCACCUGAGGUCAGGGGUUGGAGACCAGCCUAGCCAACAUGGUGAAACCCCGUCGCUCCUAAAAAUACAAAAAUUAGCCAGGCCUGGUGUCAGGCGCUUGUAAUCCCAGCUACUUGGGAGGCUGAGGCAGGAGAAUUGCUUGCACCGGGAGGCGGUGUUGCUGUGAGCCGAGAUCGUGCUACUGCACUCCAGCCUGGGCAACAGAGUGAGACUCUGUCUCAAAAAAAAAAAAAAAAAAAUAGCCGGGCAUGGUGGCUCCCAGCACUUUGGGAGGCUGAGGUGGGCAGAUCAUGAGGUCAGAAGGUCAGGACCAACCUGGACAAUAUGGUGAAACCCUGUCUCUACUAAAAAUACAAAAAAUUUAGCCGGGCAUGGUGGUGCAUGCCUGUAAUCCCAGCUACUCGGGAGGCUGAGGCAGGAGAAUCGCUUGCAUCCAGGAGGCAGAGGUUGCAGUGAGCCGAGAUAGCGUCAUUGCACUCCAGCCUGGACAAGAGCGAAACUCCGUCUCAGAAAAAAAAAAAAAAGAAAGAAAGAAAACCCUUGUACAUCAAAGGACACUAUCAACAGAGUGGAAAGACAAUCCACAGAAUCAGAGAACAUAUUUGUAAAUAAUAUAUCUGAUAAGGGAUUAAUAUCCAUAAUACAUAAGGAACUCAUAACUCAACAACAACAACACAAACCCAGCCCAGUUCAAUAAUGGGCAAAAGGACCUGUAUAGACAUUUCUCCAAAGAUGGCCAAUAAGCACAUGAAAAGAUGCUCAGCAUCACUAAUCAUUAGGAAAAUGCAAGUCAAAACCAUAAUGAGAUGGCACUUCACACCCAUUAGGAUAGCUAUUAUUAAAAAAUAUAUAUCGGGAGUCUCUCUGAGUCUACUCUGGCCCAAGAGGCUGCCAGACAAUAAUUCAAAAUAACAAUAAUAAUAAUAAUAAUAAAGACCAUUGCUAUGGCUCACACCUGUAAUCCCAGCACUAUGGGAAGCCAAGGUGAGAGGAUCCCUUGAUGCCAGGAGUUCAAGACCUAAAGAUAUCUCUACAAAUAAUUUAUAAAAUUAGCUAGGUGUGGGCCAGUCAUGGUGGCUCAUGCCUAUAAUCCCAGCAGUUUGGGAGGCUGAGGUGAGUGGAUCACUUGAGGUCAGGAGUUCAAGACCAGCUGGCUAACAUGGU
rnacentral:lncRNA from 1 species